rnacentral:misc_RNA from 1 species
AGAAGUAAAAGUCGUAACAAGGCCUCCGUUGGUGGGCCAGCGGAGGGGUCAUUACCGAGUGCAAACCCAUAACCCUUUGUGAACCUAUAUCUGUUGCUUCGGCGGCUCGCUCUCGGGCGAGCCCGCCGGUAAUAUCAGUAUCUCUGUUUGAACCCGACGAUACUUCUGAGUGUUCUUAGCGAACAGUUAAAACUUUUAAUAACGGAUCUCUUGGCUCUG